GGCCCCAUCGUCUAGUCAGGUCCAGGACACNAGGUUUUCAUCCUNGGAACAGGGGUUCGAAUCCCCUUGGGGUCA
rnacentral:tRNA from 2 species